rnacentral:tRNA from 1 species
CCUGGUGGCUCAGUUGGUAAAGCAUCUGCCUAUAAUGCAGGAGACCCGGGUUCGAUCCCUGGGUCAGGA